rnacentral:snoRNA from 1 species
AAAGAAAUUGUGCGGCAGCCUUAACUACUACCGUGUUGCUUGUCAUUUUCAGAUAUCCCCACGAGCUGGCAAGCGUCAAGUUAAUGGCGAGAUCAACUGUCCAUCUUAACGCCCUGUUUAAUCUUUCUGAACCGUGUGGAUGUUUCCCCUUGGAGGCGUUUUCAUAUGAGAAUUAUUAAGGGCUGGUAGGUCAAACAUUC